rnacentral:rRNA from 1 species
UGCCAGCAGCCGCGGUAAUACGGGGGGGACAAGUGUUAUUCUAAAUAACUGGGCGUAAAGGGUUCGUAGGUUGGUAAUUAAGUUGAAAAGGAAAUAUUAGGGCUUAACCUUAAAAGCUGUUUCAAUACUGAUUAUCUUGAGUUUGGGAGAGGAUAGUAGAAUUUCUAAUGUAGGAAUAAAAUCCAAAGAUAUUAGAAGGAAUACCAGGAGCGAAAGCGACUAUCUGGAACAAUACUGACACUAAGGAACGAAAGCAUGGGUAGCAAACAGGAUUAGAUA